ensembl:lncRNA
CUGCCUAUUUGGUAAACAAGAUAAAAUUCUGAAGGACUUCCUUCUUCCGGAACUCAAAAAAGAUGGGGUGAAGCUUUAUCUCCAGAAGAUCAGAAAAGUUGCUUCAGAUCACAGGGGCUCAGAGAUUAAACUGAAAAAGGUGGAAAAUUAGUUUCAAGGUCGGAACUUUGAAAGAAACAUCGUACAAAGAUGAGCCCGAGAUAUUCGAGGAGUGGGAGCAGUUCUACCUCCCAGAGCACAUGUUCAUGGAGGUGAUUGGUGUUGUUGAGAAGUUCCCCUGACGGGAAGGUGUUUACUUUUGAAGGUAACAGGCUGCAUCUCGUCUCUAACAACCUGGAAGAGCUGUUUAAGAAUGGUCUCCAGUUUCCAGGAACCGAACAGUAUUACCGUGGGCAAAGCUUUGAGGACCUGAGCGAUGAUGAUUGGGAGAAGGUGAGGGAGUCAAAAGAAGUGAAGGUGAAGAUGAAGGCUCACUAGGAAAUGCUGGUGAGUAUGAAGGUCUCCUAUCAACAACCUGGACAGAAUCAUGGGGAGAGAGCGAGAAGUGGUGAGAAAUACAGAGUGGUGUUUACUGAGCUGUCGCUAUCGCUAUCUGAGAUAUAAAUAAUUAUAGGCCAGAGUACGCCUAAUAAAUCUUUAUUCAGCAUGUUUCAUGUAUAUUUCACAACACAAAGUUCUACAAAUAGAAGAAACAAAUCAGAAGAAAAAAUGGACAAUAACCUUUAAUGAUGCAGUUUAACUGUCUGUGAUGAUGAUGAUGAGCACUGUAAAUACUUAUAUGCGUCUGUAUUUCUCUACAGCCAAUCCCUUUUCCUUAGGGAAAGCCAUUAGUUCCUGUUUGAAACAUGCAGUAAGAUUAAAAUCAUCUGGGUUUGGAUCACAUGUGUGUAAUUUAUUUAAGCCUUGAAGCUGACUGUAAAAUCUUGCUGAUGUCCCACACGGUUCAAGUAAAUAAUAAAAUCUUUAUUAAUCAGAGAA